rnacentral:tRNA from 2 species
GGAGGGUUGGCCGAGUGGUCUAAGGCGGCAGACUUAAGAUCUGUUGAACAGUUGUUCGCGCGAGUUCGAACCUCGCAUCCUCCA